UGAGCCUGCGCGUCCGGAGCCUGUGCUCCGCAACGGGAGAGGCCACAACAGUGAGAGGCCCGUCUACCGCAAAAAAAAAAAAAAGUCCUUUGGCUUCUUAGCAAAAAUACAGGUGAAAAACUGGGUUCUGCUUAAGAUUUUUGUCAUUUAUUACUAUGGGAUCUUUUAAAGGUUGCCAAAGGAUGUGAAUGGAUGAAGAGAAUAAGCUGUGAAAGAAAACAGCUUUUAAGAGCAACGUUUCUCAAAUUAGGUUCCACAGAUGGGAAGGAUCCUCAAGUUCCCUGCCAGACUGUUUAAACUUUGCGUUUUAAGUCCAUGGACAAAUUAAUUCUACAUCAUCUAUAUGACUUCUUAAUUUCAGAGCCCAAGCAUGUUUUUUGUUCCUGUUAGUCUUCCUUUAAUUGUGUGGACCAAUGAGAAACUAACAGAGUUAGAAUAUGUCAAAGGAAAACAAAAGGUACACUAUAGAAAAGUUUUUGCAGUUGUUAGAAUAAAGUAAUAAAGGAUUUGUCUUUUGUUCCUGA